rnacentral:rRNA from 1 species
UAAGGAGGAUGCAAGCGUUAUCCGGAAUGAUUGGGCGUAAAGCGUCCGCAGGUGGCUGGUCAAGUCUGCUGUCAAAGCGCGGGGCUUAACCCCGUAAAGGCGGUGGAAACUGGUCAGCUAGAGUCUGGUAGGGGUUGCGGGAAUUCCCAGUGUAGCGGUGAAAUGCGUAGAUAUUGGGAAGAACACCGGCGGCGAAAGCGCGCAACUGGACCAGAACUGACACUCAUGGACGAAAGCUAGGGGAGCGAAAGGG